rnacentral:rRNA from 1 species
GACGAACGCUGGCGGCGUGCUUAACACAUGCAAGUCGAACGGAAAGGCCCUGCUUUUGUGGGGUGCUCGAGUGGCGAACGGGUGAGUAACACGUGAGUAACCUGCCCUUGACUUUGGGAUAACUUCAGGAAACUGGGGCUAAUACCGGAUAGGAGCUCCUGCUGCAUGGUGGGGGUUGGAAAGUUUCGGCGGUUGGGGAUGGACUCGCGGCUUAUCAGCUUGUUGGUGGGGUAAUGGCUUACCAAGGCUUUGACGGGUAGCAGGCCUGAGAGGGUGACCGGCCACAUUGGGACUGAGAUACGGCCCAGACUCCUACGGGAGGCAGCAGUGGGGAAUAUUGCACAAUGGGCGGAAGCCUGAUGCAGCAACGCCGCGUGCGGGAUGACGGCCUUCGGGUUGUAAACCGCUUUCGCCUGUGACGAAGCGUGAGUGACGGUAAUGGGUGAAGAAGCACCGGCUAACUACGUG